rnacentral:rRNA from 1 species
GAGAAAGUUACUAAGGGCGUAUGGCGGAUGCCUAGGCUCUCAGAGGCGAUGAAGGACGUGAUAAGCUGCGAUAAGCUUCGGGAAGGUGCACAUAACCUUUGAUCCGAAGAUUUCCGAAUGGGGCAACCCAGCAUGUUGAAGACAUGUUACCCGAAAGGGGGCAAACCCGGUGAACUGAAACAUCUAAGUAACCGGAGGAAGAGAAAACAAUUAGUGAUUUCCCUAGUAGUGGCGAGCGAACGGGAAAUAGCCCAAACCGUACAGUUUUCGGACUGUGCGGGGUUGUAGGACUACGAUAUGGACUAUAUAAUUGAAUUAGAAUUACCUGGAAAGGUAAGCCGUAGACGGUGAUAGCCCGGUAUAAGUAAGAUUAUAUUACCUAGUAUAGUAUCCUGAGUAUGGCGGAGCAGGUGAAACUCCGUCUGAAUCUGCCGGCACCAUCCGGUAAGGCUAAAUACUCCUGAGAGACCGAUAGUGGACAAGUACCGUGAGGGAAAGGUGAAAAGUACCCUGAAUAAGGGGGUGAAAUAGAACCUGAAACCGUGCGCUUACAAGCGGUCGGAGGCGCUUAGUGCGUUGACGGCGUGCCUUUUGCAUAAUGAGCCUACGAGUUACACUCCACUCGCGAGGUUAAGUUAUGAAGUGACGUAUCCGAAAACGAAGCGCGAGUCUAGAACGGGGCGAAUUAGUUAUUGGAGUUAGACGCGAAACCCGGUGAUCUACCCAUGACCAGGUUGAAGUUGCGGUAACACGCAAUGGAGGACCGAACCAGUUGACGUUGAAAAGUCUUUGGAUGAGUUGUGGGUAGGGGUGAAAGGCCAAUCAAACCGGGAAAUAGCUCGUACUCCCCGAAAUGCUUUUAGGAGCAGCGUGGAGGUUAAGUCUUACGGAGGUAGAGCUACCAAUAGGACUAGGGGGAGUCACAUCCUACCAAAUCCUGAUGAACUCCGAAUGCCGUAAGAUAUACUCUGCAGUGAGGGCUAGGGUGCUAAGGUCCUAGUCCGAGAGGGAAAGAACCCAGACCUACAGCUAAGGUCCCAAAGUAUAUGCUAAGUUGAACUAAGGCGGUCCAGUUGCCGAGACAGCCAGGAUGUUGGCUUGGAAGCAGCCAUUCAUUUAAAGAGUGCGUAACAGCUCACUGUCUUGUCGAAUGAGCGUGUUGCGCAUGGAUAAUAAUCGGGCAUUAAGCAUAUCACCAAGGCUUCAGAUUCUACUACGUAGAGUAGGUGGGGAUUCUAGCUGCGUUGAAGGUGAAUGCUGUGGAGGUUUAAGCUGGAGCGUCUAGAAAAGAAAAUGUAUGAGUAUAGGCAACGAUAAGGCGGGCGAGAAACCCGCUCAACGAAAAAGACUGAGGUUUCCUGAGUCGCACUAAUCAGCUCAGGGAUUUGGCGAGCCAGGACCCAACGCAGAACCCGCGGAAAGGAGUAGUCGAUGGACAACAGGUUAAUAUUCCUGUACUUCCUAAUAUUGCGAUGGGGUGACGAAGUAGUGAAAGUCUCGCGUACUGACGGAAUAGUACGUUGAAGCACGUAGUUAUAAGGACCGUAGGCAAAUCCGCGGACCUUGAUGAAAUGCGAUAGUACCACAAGCCUUCGGGUGCGUGGAUAGUAGACCUAAUCAGACUUCCAAGAAAAACCUCUAAGCUUCAGAUAUUAGGAACCUGUACCGUAAACCGACACAGGUGGUCGAGGAGAGUAUCCUCAGGCGCUCGAGUGAUUCAUGGCUAAGGAACUAGGCAAAAUGGCCCCGUAACUUCGGGAUAAGGGGCGCUGACUUCGGUCAGCCGCAGUGAAUAGGCCCAGGCGACUGUUUAUCAAAAACACAGGACUCUGCUAAAUCGAAAGAUGAUGUAUAGGGUCUGACACCUGCCCGGUGCUGGAAGGUUAAUAGGAGGAGUUAUCUUCGGAGAAGCUCUGAAUUGAAGCCCCAGUAAACGGCGGCCGUAACUAUAACGGUCCUAAGGUAGCGAAAUUCCUUGUCGGGUAAGUUCCGACCUGCACGAAUGGUGCAACGAUCUGGGCACUGUCUCGGCCAUGAGCUCGGUGAAAUUGUAGUAACGGUGAAGAUGCCGUUUACCCGCAACGGGACGGAAAGACCCCGUGAACCUUCACUACAGCUUUGUAUUGACAUUGGAUAAAUAAUGUGUAGGAUAGGUGGGAGACUUCGAAGCUGCGUCGCCAGGCGUGGUGGAGUCAUCCUUGAAAUACCACCCUUUAUUUAUCUAGUGCCUAAUCCCGAAAGGGAGACAGUGCAUGGUGGGUAGUUUGACUGGGGUGGUCGCCUCCAAAAGAGUAACGGAGGCUUCUAAAGGUACCCUCAGCACGCUUGGUAACCGUGCGUAGAGUGCAAUGGCAUAAGGGUGCUUGACUGUGAGACCGACAAGUCGAGCAGGUACGAAAGUAGAGCAUAGUGAUCCGGUGGUUCCGCAUGGAAGGGCCAUCGCUCAAAGGAUAAAAGGUACUCCGGGGAUAACAGGCUGAUCUCCCCCAAGAGCUCACAUCGACGGGGGUUUUGGCACCUCGAUGUCGGCUCGUCACAUCCUGGGGCUGGAGAGAAGGUCCCAGCUGGGCUGUUCGCCCAUUAAAGUGGCACGCGAGCUGGGUUCAGAACGUCGCGAGACAGUUCGGUCCCUAUCUGUUGUGGGCGUUAGAAAUUUGAGAGGACCCGACUCUAGUACGAGAGGACCGGAGUUGGACAGACCUCUGGUGUACCAGUUGUGCCGCCAGGUGCAGCGCUGGGUAGCUAUGUCUGGAUGAGAUAAGCGCUGAAAGCAUAUAAGCGCGAAACUCACCUCAAGAUGAGAUUUCUUUUAAGGGUCGUUAUAGACGAUGACGUUGAUAGGAUGCAGGUGUAAAGUCAGCGAUGGCAAAGCCGAGCAUUACUAAUUACCCGUAGACUUUCUCAG